CUGUUUUUAUUUUUCAGCUCUAUGCAACUCAUUUUCAUCUAGCAUUACCUCUCCAAAACCUGAAUCUCCACAAGAAAGCCACACAGCAAUUAACCAGUGUUGCAAGAACUGCUUCUGUAAUAAAGGUGGGAAGACAAAUUGAUGCAACCCUCUUGAAAAGCAAUCUGGCAAUAUGAACCAAGAGCCAUGAAAAGGCUUAUGCUAUUAUAAUUAAAUGGCUGUAAUGUUGGCUGUAAAUAUGAAAUUUUCUUUCACACACCAAUGUUUUCAAGAAUGGCAUAUUCACAUGCAGUAUGUGGAGGCCUUUGCUUGAUUCCAUGCCUUUGUAUGAAAAUAUUUUCUGUAGUACAUGACAAACACAUAACCAUUAUUUGCUCAUAUAUGUCUCCCUUACUGCAUUAUGAGUCAUUCAGAACAGAGACCAUGUCUUGUUUAUCACUGUAUACCAAGCAUCUGCAGAGGGUAAAGAGUCGAGAUACAUUAAUUGAUUUCCCCUUGGAAAUAAAAUGUAAAGGAAAACUAUGGAAAAA
rnacentral:lncRNA from 1 species